rnacentral:pre_miRNA from 1 species
UUUGGAAUUGCUGGGUCAUGUGGCAACUCUACUUUUUGAAGAACCACCGAACUGUUUUCUAAAGCAGGUGCACCAUUUUAUAUUCCCACCAGCAAU